UCCCUGGUGGCCUAGUGGUUAGGAUUCAGCACUGUCACUGCUGUGGCCCAGGCUCAAUCCCUGGACAGGGAA
rnacentral:tRNA from 1 species